CUAAGCUUACAACUGCAAAUCUCACUAUAUAAGGUAAUUUACAAUUGGCAACUUGAUAUAUUACCAUUAAAUGAUUUUAUAACGCACGAUUAAAUUUACUCUAUUACUCUAUAUACAUACUUAUACAAUAAAAAUUUUAAAGUUUCAUCAAGUCCGGAUUCACUCAGUUCUUAUUUCGCCAACAAAAAAUGUAGAAGGUUGACCUUAUUGCCAUAUUAAUAAUCUUUUUAAUAACGUAUCUUACAUGAGCUUUAUCUAAAUUAAAAUGUUCUAACAUGUCUAUAAAACCAGAAGAUUCCUUGUCAAACACACCAAGUGCACUAAUCGAAAGGUUGAUGAAGUUUACCGCAUGAUAAUUUUUCUUUUGUUCCAUAAUCAUAUCUUUAUACUUGGAGUAUUUCCUGUUAACAUUAUUUCUGAGGUUAGUCUCAAUUCCACGGGUAAUUCCAGAAUAUACAGACAAUUGUCUUUCGUCAAAAUUAGUAAAUCAAGCCGAUAAUCAUCACCAGUGAUUGCAGAAGGAUUAGAAAAUGACCACAAAUCAUCAUAAAUGGUCCGGAUAUAUUCUGAUGGAAGGUUAUUAGCAAUUAAAUUUAGAAUUGAGUCAUGUCUCCAAGUAAAUCGAUCGAGGUAGGAACUGCAACCAGCAAAGACGUGCAAUAGAGAUUCAGGAUUAAUGCAGAACGAGCAUUCAGAAGACGAGGAUAGCCCCCAUCUUUGAAGGUUCCUACGGGUUGGCAGCGAAUUGUUUAUAUAGGGAAUGGUAAAGUUGAAAAUGUUUUUAGGCAAUUUGGACUGACAGGCUGGCCAGAUCGUAUUUACUUGGGUUAGGGAAAAUCUUGGUACACUGGUAAAGAAUGAGCCUUGGUAUGUUAGUUGGUUUGUUAAUUUAUCUACUUGAUCAUCACGAAAUGACUUAAUCACUUGCUUCGUCGAACUGUAUUGGUCGUAUUGAAUAUUAGUAUGAUUAGUUGUUGACUUCCACAGGUGGAUUAUUGAUUCAUUAGGAGAUGAUUUUAAAGCAUUCCGAAUUGUUACCUGGCAUUGUAAAAAGUUAGUUGAUGGGAGGAUGAUGUUAAGACCAAAUUUGUUGCUGCUUAGGUAGAUGUUACUCAGCGUUCCAGAAAUAGGUACCUCAAGCCAUUUGCGAACAUAUUGCGUAAAUAAAGAAUCCAAGUUUUCCGAAAUCCAGGUUUUUCAAAUAGAUGUAAUAGUAAGAUGCCAGGAGAGUUUCGAUAAAACAUAACGAUUGUAGAGUAGAAUCUUGUUCUUCGGAUGUAAUGGAUUGAGAUCUAUUUUUUUCAUUAGAUUUGUUAGAAGGGAGAUUAGUUCCAGUUCGUGUUCAUUAUUAGUCAUUUCAUAAUCAAAAUAUCUUCCUAAAUAGCAGAAUGAUUUACCGAGUUCAAUAGCUGGAAUAACGGCGUUGUUAAUAGGAAGUUUAGGGAGGUAUUGAACAGAUUUUGUGAGAGCCUUUUUAAUGCCAAAUGUGCUGCAUUUAUCCACUCGAACAAUCAUGUGAGCCCAUUGACACCAAAUUGCAAAUCGGUUUAAUAAAUACUGAUUUUCAUAUUCUUGACCGGUAAUCACGGCUGCGUCAUCACCAAAUUGGAACCAGAGAUUAGGUUCAACUGUUUAUAGGAAAAACCAAACUGUUGAUAUUUUUCGGAUUUUAUGUGCUGCACAAAAGUGUUGAAACAAAGGUUAAACAAUAAUGGACUAAGACAAUCUCCCUGCAAAACUCCACGACCAACUUGUAGAAAAGGGGUGUUGAGAUCAGAUGUGAUGAUUGAUGUUUUAAAAUUUGUGUAGAGGCUUUUAAUCAUGAAUUGAAUAUGUUCAGGUAUCUGAUGAUAGCCGAGAACCGAUUGAAUUAGAUUGUGAUGUACUUCACCGAAAGCAUUCUUGAGGUGAAAGAGGGUUAUAACGAAGGAUCGCUGUCUAAUUCGUGCUUGAUUGAUCAUAUAUGCCAUUUGUGCUGUGUGUUCAAAUGUUCCUGAGAUAUGGGAGGUGAAUCCUUUUUGUAUCUUGUGUUCAAUAAAGUUAUUCCCAAGUAGGCAAGCGAACAUAGCAUUACGGAGACUUGAAGUAAAUACUUUCAGUGGUACAGAUUGAAGGGUUAUUGGUCGAAAGUUCUCGGAAAGAUUAGUAUCGCCUUUCUUGUGGAUUAGUAUUGUGCAAGCUUUCUUCCAUUCGUCAGGAACAGUUCCAGAAAG